AUGUUUCCCUUCAGCAGCACAUAUAGUAAAAUUGGAACAGUAUAGAGAAGAUUAGCAUGGCCCCUGUGCAAGGAUGACAUGCAAAUUCUUUAAAGCAUUCCAUAUUUUU
ensembl:snRNA U6 U6 spliceosomal RNA